UGGGCCUAAAAACAGAGCAGUGGCAACGAUCCGAGGAGGAAAGUUAAUUUACUAAAUAUGAUAUCGGAAUGGAAGAUAACACAAUAUAAUAUCAUAUAAUUAGAACUGAGGCUCGUAAAUCAAAUGAAAUGAGAAAGAGAGAGUGUCCAAAACCAAAGGCCUUACUCCAAAACAGAAGGCGAGACGUCUGGGGAACACACAGUCACUGCCAGGCAGUGAGGAGAGAGUCCCAUGACUUGCAAGGAGUUUUAUCUUUCCCUCUGAAUGCAAAGUCCUCUGGGGCAUGUAGUUCUUCUCUUCUGAGAACCAGGUACACGGAAAAACAACAGUCCACGGAACUGGAACAUUAACUCUUUAACUCCCAGUGCUUUACAUGAUGUUAUGAUGUGGAAUACCAAUAACAAAAAUCAUAAAACCAUGACACUAUCAUAAAGAAAGAAAAAAAAGAGAAACAUUUUCAGUUCACCUUAUGGCUCCAUGCUAAUUGUCUGACAUUUCCAAAUCCCGAAUUCACCCAUCUUGUAUUCUUCACAUUAAAAUGAAAGAGAGUGAAAAGUCUGAAGAAAAUGUAUUUUCAAGCAUGGGAAGAAGCGUGACUUGAGUUUAUUUGUGGUGGAAAUGACCUGGGCUUCCAGAUUACAGCUGUGUGUCCAAGAACUUCGAAAAUGAUUUGCACACAGAAAUGCUAUGUCCACAGAAGCUGAGUGGGACUGGCUGCACGCAGGCCUAUUGCAACCAGCUAACACCCUCUGUGUAGCUGACAGAGCUCCUUUCAGCUCAGUGUUCCAGGGAAAUUACAGCCACCGGCCACCCACGCAUACAGGAUUUAGAGUGCAGGACCAGCAAUGGGACCUACAGCUACAGGGCAGGAGCUGCAAGCACAGGCGCUGGGAAGCAGCACCCUCAGCUCAGCCCCAUGGCACAGAGCACAUGGGCUGGGGCUCCACAUCCAAGGAAGACACUGAUAGAUGCCAGGCACACAGCAAGCACAUGCACGUGCCAGAUCGCAGCUGGGUGGGCUCUCCUGGGCCUCAGAGCCAGGUGACUGCAGCAUGCCAUUCAUAUUUAGUGCAUUAGAUCAGAAGCCAAUUGCUGUAUCUCGGUACCUGUGGAACGUUUUCAAUAUUCCAGCUACGCAUCUACCAAAGCCCUGCUGAAAUUCUGUGGAAUGCUAAUGGCAAAAUAAAACAAACAUCAAGGAUAACAGCAAAAGUUAUUGCUUGCCAGACAAAAACAGAAACAAGAUGCAAUUCCGUCCUCACAGUUUGCACACAUGACUGGGAGCGAGGCUGGUGCCAAGCUCUGCCUGAUUGUGCCUAUCGAGUGUCCCUGUGUUAGGAGGGAAUGUCCUGAGGAGCUGGCUGGCCACUGGCAUUUGGGAAAUGAAUGAAUUGUGCUUGCCAGGUGCUUGGGAACAACUUUUGGCACGCACGAGCUGGCAUGACAAGAGUGUGCGUGCUGUGUUAUUCUUUCCUAUUCUUCUCGACCUUCUCAUUGUAUUGGGGGACUGAACACAAGCCUGUUUCAGAGCACACAGAGUAUGCUGGGGGGUAUUUACAGGUGUUUUUACAGUAUAUUCAUUUUACUGACAUCGAGUAGAAUUACAUAUGGGACAUUAUUCCAAAAAAGACAACAGUGGAGACCUGAAAUGCACCUGGAAUGCAUUCUAUGGAGACACCGGGAAAAGCCAAGGAAAGCAAAGCUGAGAAACAAAGGAUUUAUGGUUUUGUUAUCAGACUUUGUCAAUAUACCCUCAGUUCAGAAAGCUGGCAGGAAACAGCUCUGAAAACAUCACUACUGCAAAGUAAGACUACACAGUGCAUCUCAAGGAUCUCUCCCCUGUGGGGAUGCCUGGGUCAAGUCUGACAACCAGCCCCAGUGAGCACACAAACAGGAAAACUGGGAAACAGAUGGAGCCAUGAGAAGGGGAGAGGGAAGAGAGUGAAGCUGGUGAGCUCAGCAAAUGGGUAUCAUUGUUUCCAAACCCAAGGAGGUCUUCUACUGCAAGGAUUACAGUCUGCAGCAAGCAUCUGAGCUCUCUGGUGCCCUGAAACCUCCUCACUUCAGCGUCUUCUCAAGGGAUCUGGAAGCACAGCUUCUCCUCUUAGAAAUAAUGGAGUUGUAGGAUUUUUUUAUAUCAGAAGUGUUCUGUCCAGAACAAUUUCCUUGGCAUAACCAAAGCAUCCUGCAGGAGCUCCUACCAGGGAGCUGACACAAGCCCUGUCUGCAGCUUCCUUGAUGUGCCCCUGAGGGUGCUGCAGAGAGAGCACCCACCUCAGGAGCAGACACUGGUCCUAUUUGCAGACCUUCCCUACACCUUUUUUUUCCCUUUCCCUCAGAAAACCAGAGUUUUGAUCUUCAUCUCUCUUCAUAUACUAUCUGUGUUGUUUCUUUCUUUCUCCUAGACCUCAACAUUUUGUUCUGAAGUUAAAUUCAGGUUAGCAAAAUCUCCAUGGAGCACUGCAGCUAAUCCGAAAGUCCAGCCUUCCAUGCAGUGACUGAAGGACCGGACUUCCCUAGCCUUGGGUAUGGGUGCAAGCAGAACAAUUAAAUUCAAUUAUUGAGCCUGAACUGUGGGCAAAUGAAAGGCAUCUUCAACCUUAGGCCCUAUGGGAUGAGGAGAUAUCCAUACAUUGUAUGUUCAGUGCUUCCGUGUUCUGAUUAUUUCACUUUUUUUAUCUUAUUCAGUUACUGUAGGUUGAAGUUACAUUAGCAUUAACGCUGCUGUGGUAAGGAAGAUAGAAAAAAAAAAGAAUUGGCACUUGGCAGAUUGCAUUCUGAUUCACAUGUAUUCAUCAAAAUUGUUGUCUAGAACAGGGAAUAAUUAGUGAAUUUAAAUCACUGUUACAGUUAUCAUUACUUUUUGAUACUACUUAUUAACUUUCAUCCCAAGGGUCUGGCACAGUACUGUUCAGGAAAACAAGCAAAGCACAGACAGCUCUGCUAAGACAAGUUUUUAUUUCAAAGCUAUUAAGGACAUCCAAGAAGAUGCAUCCCCACUGCUAAAGUAAGACAUAGGUGAUCAGGUGAUCCAUCCGAUCUGAUCGAUUUAAUUGGACCCAGUCUCUCUUUCUAACAGCAAGUCUCCACUUAGCUGAGAAGAGAGAAUCCCACGGGAUCUGAAGAGGCAGCUUGCAAAGUAGCAAUGAAAAUCAAGCCCAUGGCAGUACUGUAAGUACUUGGUCCAAGUUUCUCACUCAAAAAAGGGGUGAGUUUAUGAUUCAAAGACCAAAUUAUAUAUUCUGCAUUCUGGAUUUUUAAAUAUACCUGAGUAGUUUUGAGUAGUUCUGCCAUUAACUGUGGAAGUGUUAGAUGUACAGGCUAUUUUCUGGUGGCUCUGGGUCUUAUGUUUCCAACAUAUCAGCUUAAUUUAAAAUGAGAUAUGUGUAAACCAUUUCAUGUAAGCAUUCAGCAGGAAAGAAGUGUGUAACUCUGUUCGAACUGUUAACAGAAGUGAGAAUAGACAUCAGAGUAUUUAAAAAAAAAAAACUGGAAAAUUAUGUCAUGAAAGCAAAAUUGCAAAGAAUCAAUCUGUAGCAGAUACUCUGCUCAGUCCUUUCAAAGCUUUCAGAAUCUUUCCACUGGAUUAACUGUGUGAACUAUAAAGUACUUCCUAAGACAAGAAGCACGUAAAAACCCUCAUCAUUUUGACAGUGACCCCUCAUCAAACACAUAUUCACAUCUACCUUAAUGUCUAUUGGACCUCCAUCCAAAUGAGACAGCUAACAAAUCUGAAGAUAAAUUAGGGUGUUCCACAGUCUCAGCUACAAAAGAGUACAUUCAUUAAGAAGCCACAUGUAUGAAUGCACAGUAAAUAAAAGAACUGCUAUACGAAUACAUUAGAAAAUUUUAAUUCUCUCUAUAGAAAUGAUGAGGUCCUAGGUAAACUCUCCCCGAUUAUAUGAUUCAUUCAUGGCACAUGGUAUUGUCUUCAAGAAUUAUGAGUUUUCAAGUUCGAACUCUGUAGAUUUUGACAGAAAACAAGGACAGGUUCAGCUGACAGCUCCUCUCUGUUAGCUAGUCAAACUGUGCUGUGCCAUGAGGGUACCUUGCAGAAAAGCAACUUGCGAAGGAUCUCAGGAGGUAAGCUCAGGAGUUCCCUGCCCCUUCCUAGCAGCUACAGCUGUGCCUACACUGCUCCUAGGGGUGUCUGCUCAGCCCAGUCCCACAAAUCCCCAAGGACACACAUUCUCCCACCUCAUUAGGCAGCCUACUCAGAGAGCCCUAUGUGGAAAAAAAGCAUUUGUAACAUCUAAAUGCAGGAAUGUUCACACGUUUCAGGUGAGAUUGCUUCAAAUUCACUGGAGUGAACACUCAGGCUGAGUAAGUUUCAGAAAAUUCGUGGCUAGUCCAAGAUGAAAGAUAGUUUGGGUAUGUUUUCAUAAUCAGGCCUAUGCUAAAGAGGGAUUUUAAAAAGGCUGGUCAUAGGAUGAUGCUUUUCCAGCAGGUUGCAGAGCAGUGCAAAUAGGCAGUUCUCAGCAAAAGGUCACCUGUGUUCCCUCUUUUGUAUGUUCUGACAGAACCCUGAUCAAUUUGGCAAAGUACUGGUCUCGAUUUAUACUGGUGAUCAAGGACGAGGAUCUGUAUCUGAAAUGGUGUUGGUUCUGGUGUUCUUUUUACAGUCUCUGCACUUUGGAGAAAUCCAUGGUUUAUCUUUCACUGUGGACAUUCCCAGAAGGAUGAUUUGGUUUAAGUGCAAGCUAUGGGAGAGAUGUAUCCAAAAGUGUGAUAUCCCAUCUUGAGACGGGAGUUUGGAAUGCCUGCAAUGAGUGGUCUGAUGGAGAGAGCUCUCUCUUCUUCUGUGUGCCUGCUGAAGGAGUAUUGAGCCCUCGCUGGGCCUGGGCUGUGGGUCGCAGCUGAGUGGACCUUGCUAGUGCUAAAGGAGAGAGGAACAGCCCUCCUCCAUAAAUUCUCCUGUUAUCUGAUCCUAAAUUGCAGCUGGUUUGGGGAUUCAAUAUGGACAUUUUGUGUUUUUACCAGAAGAUUCUACCUCGGGGAAUUAGCUUGAGAAAAAAAACCUCCCAUUUCUUUUGAAUUGUUCCUAUUAGUUUCCAGAAAGCCAAUAAUGUAAAGACCUGUGUAGAAAGCUGUCAGUGUGCACCUAGAAAUCAAUGAGGUAUUGAUUUACUUUUCCUAACAACAUUCACUCUAUUCUUUCUGGCUUGGUGGAUGCUGUCUUUGGAUUACUUCAAGAUGACCCAUUAGGUGAGCCUCCCAGUCAUUCCAGCCAAGAACCAGGAACCCGAGCACUGCAGUGACCUGUAAGCCUGAGCACAGGGCUAGAAAAGCAGGAGCACUGUUGUGUGCCUGCAGAUUCAAUCCAGCAAUGCAGUUUCCAGCAUGACUGUGGAGGGACUGUGGUGAAACAAGUUGGUGGUUGUGCUCACGCUGCUGGGGUGCACUUGUGCCUUCUCUAGGAUGCUUGUCUAGUAGGGGGGACUGUGGAAGGGGUUUGUAUUCUGGAAGUAAAUAGAGGUUAAUUUCUGUUUUAGAAGAUCCCACUUGUGAGGAGAGUAGAAAUGUACGGCUCUGACGAAGCACUUUAUUUUGAGACUGCACUGUAUCUUACUAAAAAAUCAUACUACCAAAGACAGGCCUAGAAAAUAUAAAUUCUCAGCAAAAGAAGUGACUUUGCUGAUGCCAGUUAGCAAAGCUGGUGAUAAAUUCAUUUCUUGGGCACUGUCUGAACGUGAAAGCAGCAGAUUUGCUGUGCCAGGACGUUGAUGCUGUGUAGCUCUGCACUGUGCGUUGGUGAGGUUGGAUGCUACGCUGUGGGUAGGCUAGGUAGAGAGAGCAGCGACCUGCUGCACUGCGUGGGGACAGUGUGUCUGCAGUGUGGGUAUGCAGGAAGGCUCCAGCAUGGGGAUUUAUCUGAUUUCUGUCUUUGUCUGUCUAUCCCGUAUGCCUAUCACUUAAAUACACCCACGUCCAGAGAGAAAUGCAUCAACAGCUUGAAAGCUCACAGCAUCCUACAUAACAGCUUCUGUCAGAAAGUAAAGAAUGCCAUAUUAAGUUAAAACUUCUGUGCAAAUAACAUUGAUGUUGCUUACAGAAAAAUGUUUACCCUCCAUUUUGGGAGCAGUGUCGUGAGAUCCGCAUUGAUUACAACCAUCAGGUUUCAUUUGGGCAUGACUGAGACUUUGUAUCUUCAGCAUCUCUAUCCCUUUCUUCCUACACAGUAUUUUCAUUUCAAAUAGGAGACAAACAUCAGCGGUAUUUUAUUAAGUGCUUUUAUUUUUGCAUUACAUAGAGUGACUCUAGGAAUGUAGAAAGAAGGUGUUAAGCAGUUGAACUCCAUAGGGAAAGGAGAUUUCUCAAAGCACAAACCCAUUGUUUUUCAUUAUAUUCUAAUUGCGUUGAGUGGGCACAAUUUUCUGGAGUUAAAUAUGAACUUUUAGGAGAAGCCUAUAGGUGAAAGACUGGACAGCAUGCUGCGGUCAUGGCCUCUCUCAGAGCACCCAGUGGUCUUUGGGAGCUUGGUAUUGCACUUUGGCUGGAGCAAUCCAGCUGCCAAGCCCCAUACCAACCUCACAGAUGCAGCCCUGAGAGGAAGGAAGGCUCUGGGCUCUGUUCUUUUUACACUACCUAAAUGCCAACCAUCCAACUGUCAGCUCUCAUUUUCCUGUUACAAGUCCUGGGUAAUUUCAUAUUCACCGCUAUUUCAUUUGUGUCUGCCAGGACUAGAAAAUGAGACUUCAACUCCUGAAGCCGCACAGUUCCAUUAAAAAUAAGGUUAAAAGAGAAAAAUGAAUAUUUACAUACGUAAAGCUUGGGAUGGGUGAUUUCAUCCGGAACAUCCCCACAGUGCUCUGUCAGAGUACCACCACCAGCCUCCUGCUCCAGCUCCCACCCCACACUGCGAACAGCCUGCAGCGCUGGGCUUUGGCUCAGGUGAUAGCUCCCAUGGCAUGACACACUGCACAAUCACUUCACUUUUUUCUUGCCUGUGAGCUAACUUCUUCACUGACAAUUCUGAAUACAACUUCUGAAAAGUUCUUCAGCUCAACUUCUCUUGUGGAGAUGAGGGCAAGCCCUGAGAGGCAUGGGGCUGCUUGCUUCAGGCACAAUGAUGGAGAGUUCUGAAUAGCAAAGGCAGUGAGGAAAGAAGCAAAAACUGUAAAUCCAAAAUUCACUGAACUUAUCUUUGUUGUAUCACUACAGAUCUAUUUCUGAAAGUAUGGAGAACCUCCCUCUUCAUAUGAUUUUACCUACAGCUGUGAGAAAAUUCCUCCAAAAAUGGCAUUUUUACAGGGGCUGCUCUGAAAGUAAUGCCUCCUAUUUUAUUAUGUCAGUCCACAACAUCAGAAGCAGAUGGUGGUGGUAUAACGAUAGAACCUGAACCUUACCACCAAUAUCAAGUAUUUUGUUGCCGUGCGACAGAUGGCAGCAGAGGGGCAGUGUGACAAAAUGGCAUCUGACAUGGAAAUGCGGAUAAAGCAAAGGUGUGCCAUUGAAUUCCUCCAUGUGGAAAAACAUUGCACCCAUUGACAUUCAUCAAUGCUUGCUAAACAUUUAUGGAGACCAAACAGUGGAUGUGAGCACAGUGAGGUGGUGGGUGGUAUGUUUCAGUAGUGGUGGCUGUGAGAUAAGCCACAUUCCAGGUGGGCAUGCACAGCUAUCACAGUAAGAAAUGAAGAGCGUCUUGAUCAGCUCAUCCACAUGAACUGGAAGAUUACGACCAGGUAACGGAGUGUACAGAGCUGAAUAUUGGCUUCAAUGCACUGGAAGUGGUGGCAGUGUUACAAUAUCAUAAGGUUUGUGCCAGGUGAAUCCCAUGAGUGCUCACACAGGCACAGAAAGAACACCAUAUGCAAGUUUGUCAGGCUCAAUUGAACAAAUAGGAGGCUGAAGGUGACAGUUUCUUGGAUCACAUCAUUACUUACAAUGAGACAUGGUAUCACCACUCUGAGCCAGAGUCAAAAUGGCAGUCCAUGGAAUGGUGACAUUUGAAUUCCCCACCAAAGAAAACGUUCAAGAUGCAGCCCUCAGCAGGUAGAGUGAUGUGCACUGUCUUUUGGGAUAGGAAAGCGGCGAUCCUUGUGGAUUUCCUGGAACCUGGGCAAACCAUUAACUCUGACCUCUGCAUCAUCACGCUGACUAAGCUGAAGACUUAAACAUCUAGAGCCAGACCAGAGAAGGUCAGUCUUUCUCUUGCAACAUAAUAUCAGGCCCCAUACCAGUUUGAAGACCGUGGAACACAUUGCCAGUCAUGGCUGGACUGUCUUACCAUACCUACUGUAUAGUUCAGAUUUGGCACUUUAUAACUUCCACCUGUUUGAGCUGAUGAAAGAUGGACUGUAUGGGCAGCAUCUUCCUAGCAAUGACACCAUCAUAACAGCUUUGAAACAGUGGGUCACCUCUGCUGGUGCAGAUUUUUAUGACUUUAGCAUGCAGGCUCUUGUUCAUUGCUGGUGAAAAUGAAUAGCUAAUAGUGGUGACGAUGCUGAAAAAUAAUG